GAUGAACGCUGGCGGCGUGCUUAACAUAUGCAAGUCGAACGAAGCACUUGGACGGAUUUCUUCGGAAUGAAAGCCUUGUGACUGAGUGGCGGACGGGUGAGUAACGCGUGGGUAACCUGCCUCAUACAGGGGGAUAACAGUUAGAAAUGACUGCUAAUACCGCAUAAGACCACAGCUUCGCAUGAAGCAGUGGUAAAAACUCCGGUGGUAUGAGAUGGACCCGCGUCUGAUUAGGUAGUUGGUGGGGUAACGGCCUACCAAGCCGACGAUCAGUAGCCGACCUGAGAGGGUGACCGGCACAUUGGGACUGAGACACGGGCCCAAAUCCUACGGGAGCAGCAGUGGGGAAUAUUGCACAAUGGGGGAAACCCUGAU
rnacentral:rRNA from 1 species